AGGCGCUGUACUUUAUAUAAAAGACCUGACUUGCAUUCAGGCAAAGAGCUGGUAGCUUCAGGGCCAAG
rnacentral:tRNA from 1 species